rnacentral:rRNA from 1 species
AAUCAACGCUGGCGGCGUGCCUAACACAUGCAAGUCGCGCGCGAAAGGGGGGCAACUCCCAAGUAGAGCGGCGAACGGGUGAGUAACACGUGGGUAAUCUACCUUCGAGUGGGGAACAACACCGGGAAACUGGUGCUAAUUCCGCAUAACAUCGUCGGGGCUUCGGUUCUGACGCUCAAAGCUGGGGAUCGCAAGACCUAGCGCUUGAAGAUGAGCCCGCGUCCGAUUAGCUAGUUGGCGGGGUAAUGGCCCACCAAGGCUUCGAUCGGUAGCCGGCCUGAGAGGAUGAUCAGCCACACUGGGACUGAGACACGGCCCAGACUCCUACGGGAGGCAGCAGUGGGGAAUUUUGGA